AUUGAACGCUGGCGGCAGGCCUAACACAUGCAAGUCGAACGGUAACAGGAAGAUGCUUGCUUCUUUGCUGACGAGUGGCGGGCGGGUGAGUAAUGUCUGGGAAACUGCCUGAUGGAGGGGGAUAACUACUGGAAACGGUAGCUAAUACCGCAUAACGUCGCAAGACCAAAGAGGGGGACCUUCGGGCCUCUUGCCAUCGGAUGUGCGCAGAUGGGGUUAGCUAGUAGGUGGGGUAACGGCUCACCUAGGCGACGCUCCCUAGCUGGUCUGAGAGGGUGACCAGCCACACGGGAACUGAGACACGGUCCAGACUCCUACGGGAGGCAGCAGUGGGGAAUAUUGCACAAUGGGGGAAAGCCUGAUGCAGCCAUGCCGCGUGUAUGAAGAAGGCGUUCGGGUUGUAAAGUACUUUCGGCGGGGAGGAAGGGAGUAAAGUUAAUACCUUUGCUCAUUGACGUUACCCGCAGAAGAAGCACCGGCUAACUCCGUG
rnacentral:rRNA from 1 species